rnacentral:rRNA from 1 species
CACCGCGGUUAUACGAGAGACCCAAGUUGACUUACACCGGCGUAAAGUGUGGUUAGGGCCCCAACCUCUAAUAAAGUCGAACACCUCCCGAACUGUUAUACGCACACGGAGACAAGAAGCACCGCUACGAAAGUGACUUUAAACCCCCUGAACCCACGACAGCCUUGACA